rnacentral:ncRNA from 2 species
AUUGAUCUUUGGGGCAAGGUGAGAAGGUAACUUCAAUUCCUGACCGGCGGUGACAGUCCGCGAGCGCAAGCUGACUUGGUGUAAUUCCAAGACCGACAGUAAAGUCUGGAUGGUAAAAGAUGAAU